AACGAACGCUGGCGGCAUGCCUAACACAUGCAAGUCGAACGGGAUCCUAGCUUGCUAGGUGAGAGUGGCGGACGGGUGAGUAACACGUGGGAAUCUGCCUUUUGGUUCGGGAUAACCGCGGGAAACUGCGGCUAAUACCGAAUGCCCUCGAGAGAGGAAAGAUUUAUCGCCAGAAGAGGAGCCCGCGUCCGAUUAGGUAGUUGGUGGGGUAAAGGCCUACAAGCCGACGAUCGGUAGCUGGUCUGAGAGGAUGAUCAGCCACACUGGGACUGAGAUACGGCCCAGACUCCUACGGGAGGCAGCAGUGGGGAAGUAUUGGACAAUGGGGGCGAACCCUGAUCCAGCAAUGCCGCGUGAGUGAUG
rnacentral:rRNA from 1 species